UUCCAUUCCAUUUCAUUCCACUCCACUCGGGUUGAUUCCAUUCCAUUCCAUUCCAUUCCAUUAAAUUCCAUUCCAUUCCAUUCCAUUAAAUUCCAUUCCAUUCCAUUCCAUUAAAUUCCAUUCCAUUCCAUUCCAUUCCAUGCCGUUGCAUUGGAAUCGUGUUGAUUCCAAUACAUUCCAUUACAUUCCAGUCCUUUCCAUUCCAUUACAUUCCACUCGGUUUGUUUCCAUUACAUUGAAUUCCAUUCCAUUCCAUUCCAAUCCAUUCCAUUACAUUCCAUACCACCCAGAUUGAUUCCAUUCCAUUCCAUUAUAAUCCAUUCCAUUCCAUUCCAUUCCAGUUGAUUCUAAUGCCUUUCACCCCAUUCCAUUCCACUGCAUUCCAUUCCAUUCCAUUCCACUCAGUUUGUUUCCAUUCCAUUCCAUUCCACUCGGGUUGAUUCCUUUCCAUUCCAUUCCAUUCCAUUUCAUUCCAUUCCAUUCCGUGCCUUUCCAUUCCAUUCCAUUCCAUUCCAUUCCACUCGGGUUCAUUCCAUUCCAUUCGUUUUCAUUCCAUUCCAUUCUAUUCCAUUCAUUUCCAUUCAAUUCCAUUCCACUCCACUCGGGUUGAUUCCAUUCCAUUCCAUUCCUUUCCAUUAAAUUCCAUUCCAUUCCAUUACAUUCCAGUUCAUUCCAUUACUUUCCCUUCCAUUCUGUUCCCUUCCAUUCCAUUCCAUUCCAUUCCAUGCCGUUGCAUUGGAAUCGGGUUGAUUCCAAUACAUUCCAUUACAUUCCAUUCCUUUCCAUUCCAUUACAUUCCACUCGGUUUGUUUCCAUUACAUUGAAUUCCAUUCCAU
rnacentral:lncRNA from 10 species